rnacentral:rRNA from 1 species
CGCGGCCUAUCAGCUUGUUGGUGGGGUAAUGGCCUACCAAGGCGACGACGGGUAGCCGGCCUGAGAGGGCGACCGGCCACACUGGGACUGAGACACGGCCCAGACUCCUACGGGAGGCAGCAGUGGGGAAUAUUGCACAAUGGGCGAAAGCCUGAUGCAGCGACGCCGCGUGAGGGAUGACGGCCUUCGGGUUGUAAACCUCUUUCAGCAGGGAAGAAGCGAAAGUGACGGUACCUGCAGAAGAAGCGCCGGCUAACUACGUGCCAGCAGCCGCGGUAAUACGUAGGGCGCAAGCGUUGUCCGGAAUUAUUGGGCGUAAAGAGCUCGUAGGCGGCUUGUCACGUCGGAUGUGAAAGCCCGGGGCUUAACCCCGGGUCUGCAUUCGAUACGGGCAGGCUAGAGUGUGGUAGGGGAGAUCGGAAUUCCUGGUGUAGCGGUGAAAUGCGCAGAUAUCAGGAGGAACACCGGUGGCGAAGGCGGAUCUCUGGGCCAUUACUGACGCUGAGGAGCGAAAGCGUGGGGAGCGAACAGGAUUAGAUACCCUGGUAGUCCACGCCGUAAACGUUGGGAACUAGGUGUUGGCGACAUUCCACGUCGUCGGUGCCGCAGCUAACGCAUUAAGUUCCCCGCCUGGGGAGUACGG